rnacentral:rRNA from 1 species
CAGUCGAGCGAACGGAUAAGGAGCUUGCUCCUUUGAAGUUAGCGGCGGACGGGUGAGUAACACGUGGGUAACCUACCUAUAAGACUGGAAUAACUUCGGGAAACCGGAGCUAAUGCCGGAUAACAUUUGGAACCGCAUGGUUCUAAAGUAAAAGAUGGUUUUGCUAUCACUUAUAGAUGGACCCGCGCCGUAUUAGCUAGUUGGUAAGGUAACGGCUUACCAAGGCAACGAUACGUAGCCGACCUGAGAGGGUGAUCGGCCACACUGGAACUGAGACACGGUCCAGACUCCUACGGGAGGCAGCAGUAGGGAAUCUUCCGCAAUGGACGAAAGUCUGACGGAGCAACGCCGCGUGAGUGAUGAAGGUUUUCGGAUCGUAAAACUCUGUUAUUAGGGAAGAACAAAUGUGUAAGUAACUGUGCACAUCUUGACGGUACCUAAUCAGAAAGCCACGGCUAACUACGUGCCAGCAGCCGCGGUAAUACGUAGGUGGCAAGCGUUAUCCGGAAUUAUUGGGCGUAAAGCGCGCGUAGGCGGUUUCUUAAGUCUGAUGUGAAAGCCCACGGCUCAACCGUGGAGGGUCAUUGGAAACUGGGAAACUUGAGUACAGAAGAGGAAAGUGGAAUUCCAUGUGUAGCGGUGAAAUGCGCAGAGAUAUGGAGGAACACCAGUGGCGACGCGACUUUCUGGUCUGUAACUGACGCUGAUGUGCGAAAGCGUGGGGAUCAAACAGGAUUAGAUACCCUGGUAGUCCACGCCGUAACGAUGA